UACGUAGGGUGCAAGCGUUGUCCGGAAUUAUUGGGCGUAAAGAGCGUGUAGGCGGCCCGAUUAGUCCGCUGUGAAAGUCCAGGGCUCAACCCUGGAAUGCCGGUGGAUACUGUCGGGCUAGAGUCCGGAAGGGGCGAGUGGAAUUCCUGGUGUAGCGGUGAAAUGCGCAGAUAUCAGGAGGAACACCAAUGGCGAAGGCGACUUCCUGGCCUGUUCUUGACGCUGAGGCGCGAAAGCUAGGGUAGCAAACGGG
rnacentral:rRNA from 1 species